AAUAUUGGACAAUGGGCGAAAGCCUGAUCCAGCCAUGCCGCGUGAGUGAUGAAGGCCCNAGGGUUNUNAAGCUCUUUUAGUGGGGNCGAUAAUGACGGUACCCACCGAAGAAGCCCCGGCUAACUUCGUGCCAGCAGCAGCGGUAAUACGAAGGGGGCUAGCGUUGUUCGGAAUUACUGUGCGAAAAGCGCGCGGAGCCGGACUUUUAAGUCAGAGGUGAAAACCCCGGGCUCACCCCCGGAGAAGCCUUUGAUACUGGAGGUCUAGAGGCGGAGAGAGGUGAGUGGAAUUCCGAGUGUAGAGGUGAGAUUCGUAGAUAUUCGGAGGAACACCAGUGGCGAAGGCGGCUCUCUGGCUCGGUACUGACGCUGAGGUGCGAAAGCGUGGGGAGCGAACAGG
rnacentral:rRNA from 1 species